AUUGAACGCUGGCGGCAGGCCUAACACAUGCAAGUCGAGCGAGCGGCGGACGGGUGAGUAAUGUCUGGGAAACUGCCUGAUGUAGGGGGAUAACUACUGGAAACGGUAGCUCAUACCGCAUACCCUCAGAUGUGCCCCGAUGGGAUGAGAUCGGAGGUGGGGGAAAGGCUCACCGAGGCGACGAUCCCCAGCGGGUCUGAGAGGAUGACCAGACACAAUGGAACUGAGAAACGGUCCAGACUCCUACGGGAGGCAGCAGUGGGGAAUAUUGCACAAUGGGCGAAAGCCUGAUGCAGCAAUGCCGCGUGUGUGAAGAAGGCCUUCGGGUUGUAAAGCACUGUCAGCGGGGAGGCGUUACCCGCAGAAGAAGCACCGGCUAACUCCGUGCCAGCAGCCGCGGUAAUGC
rnacentral:rRNA from 1 species